CCAGCGUCUAGAGUCGUCACCCGCGAGGAGGAAAGGAGGUGUUGUCGCUUGCCAGCCCAUCGGGCGACGCUCGCCUACAGACAUGGGGGAUUGGGGAAGGAGCGAGGGCGGCCAGCAGCUCGUGGGACGUAAGGAUCGGGCAACCGUGAGGAUUGAAGAGGAGGAGAUGUAGGGAGGCGCGAUGGGGAGGACUGAGGAUCAUAGUUAUUAAGGACCGAACCGGCGGUUGGACCGGUAAAAGAUCGAACCAGAGCCUCCACCGGUCCGGUUUGCUUAAAAGACCGCCCAUACAAUUGAACCGGUAAAAACCGAUGAACCGGCUGGUUUUAAAAACCGGCCGGUUCCGCACAAACCUGACUGAUUUUGAUUUUUACGGAUGCGAACCCUCCGUCGAUUCAGUUCAAUCUUACCGGCCUAGGCGUAUAAACGGAAAGACUUUUCUUUCUUAC
rnacentral:lncRNA from 1 species